UAAUACGGGGGGAGCAAGCGUUGUUCGGAUUUACUGGGCGUAAAGGGCGCGUAGGCGGCGCGACAAGUCACUUGUGAAAUCUCCGGGCUCAACUCGGAACGGCCAAGUGAUACUGUCGUGCUAGAGUGCGGAAGGGGCAACUGGAAUUCUCGGUGUAGCGGUGAAAUGCGUAGAUAUCGAGAGGAACACCUGCGGCGAAGGCGGGUUGCUGGGCCGACACUGACGCUGAGGCGCGAAAGCUAGGGGAGCG
rnacentral:rRNA from 1 species